rnacentral:lncRNA from 1 species
GGUCCAAGGGAAAAAGUGCCAGUGGUGAGGAGGAAGGGAAAGAGAAAUAAGUAGAAUAAAGAAAUGCCAUAGGGCCAGGGAUGUAGCUCAGUGGUGCUGCCACCUGCCUCACAAGCACAAGGUCCUGAGUUCAAUCCCCGGUACAAAAAAUAAUAGUAAUAAUAAUAAUAAUAAUAAUAACAACAAGAAUGAAAAAUGUGAUAGGGGAAUUGGAGGAGGAGGGGGAGGGAAGGGGAUUAAAAAACAAGCUGUGAUAUAUACAUGUAACCACUCCCCAGAAUGAUUGUAAACUGCAUGAACUGCAAACGCGCGAUAAUAAAAUAAAAAGUAUAUAUUCCUGUAGAAUUAAAAGUAACACUUGAAAAAAAUUAAGUUUCUCGAAGGUUUUUGUUUAGCUGAUUAAAGGAGAAAGCUACAAAUCCAAAUAAUAAUUCAUACUCUUUGCUACUUAUCUAUCCAAUGCUUCAUUUUACUCCUAUUUUGUGGGACAAAAAUCAAUUUAGGGUACUGUAUUCAGUUUUAGGUGACAAGAGGAAAAAAGAGUAGGCCAGAGAUGCAAUAAACUCCUCCAGUGCCACUAUAGCAAUUUAAACACAGAGGGGGAGAGGAGUUAGCUAAGGCUGAAUAUCUAAAGAGGGUUUUAGGUUAAUCCUAAAUUCCAUCAGUCUCCACUAAUAUUUGUUAAACCCAUCUGAAUGUAGCCAGACUGACAUUUGUGAGAACCCACAGAUUCAUGUGUUCUCUUUUAAGAUAUACAAUGUUUCUGGGCCUGCAAUUUAGCUCAGUGGUUACUCUGCCUGCCUUCCCGUACCAUCCCCCCCCCCAAAGAUAUACAAUGUUUCUGAAGAAUUUUCUUAUUUGUUUGCCUGAGACAGGGUCUCCCCAAGUAGCCCAUGCUGGCCUUGCAAUCUUCCUGCCUCAGCCUCCCAAUUGCUUGGACUACAGGUGUGCACCAUCAUGCCUGGCUCAGGGGGAUUUUAAUGGGGUCUUCUGCUUAAGUAUUUGGUACUUGUGUGAACUCUGGUUUUACAAAUAGUAAUACUUUACAUGAUUCUCUAAAACAACAGAGGCCAUCAAAUGAUAAGAAAGAAUGAGGGCAGGCUGGGUGUGGUGACACGUGCCAAACUCCCAGCACUCUGGGAGGCUGAGGAUUACAGCCGUGUGCCACCAUGCCCAGCACCCAGUGCGAUAUUAAAAUUAAAACAAACAAAAAGGUUCUCUUUAACAUUCUCACCUCUAUCCUUAUCUCUGCCCUGGGUGCUUAUAUAACACAUGAUUUAUAACUUUAGCCCCUCAUAAAUUACCCUGCUGCCUCUUAGAACAGGAAGAAUGAUUAACACAAAUGGAAUGUUGGAAGGAUUAAAAUCCACGCUUCAUUUGUCCUUUCAAAUCAUGAAUUUAUUAGGCAGAGGGAGUUAUAGUCAUCUUAGACUUUCUCCUACUCUCACCCCACAAUUCUUUAUUUUAACCAUAUACAAUGAAUGCUAGUACAUUUUCUUUUGGUACCGGGGAUCAAACUCUGGGACCUUGUGCUUGUGAGGCAAGCGGUGGCACCACUGAGCUAAAUCCUCAGCCCUUAGUACACUUUCUUUCAAGUUAAAUAAGUCUAUGGGUAAUGACUGUAGACUAGUUUAUAACUUGGAGCACCUUUAUACUUUAAUCGAAUAAAAUAACAAAGUUCCCAAAACUGGUGCACAAUUUGUGCUUUGUGCUAUGAAUGUCAAUGUGAAGAAAUUUAAUGAAGUGAAAGUAACACAGGGUAACUCUUGACCUUCAAGGUAGCCAAAUGCCUCACUGUCUGAAUAGUGAAGCCCACCAAUGAAUGAAUGAGAUUUCCUUGUCACUGUCCCUGCCUACUACUCAGUAAAACACAGACUAGGUACCCAACCUGGCAUUAUUGGCAGAGAAAGCUCCUCUGAAGCUUAA